CUCCGCUUGGUGUAGUUGGUUUAUCACGUCGGGCUGUAAUUGUUACAAACCCCCGCUUGCACACAAGCGGCUGGAACCUGAAGGUCCCUAGUUCGAUUCUGGGAGCGGAGA
rnacentral:tRNA from 1 species